AGUUCAGUUGGCUAGAACGCAUCGUUCACACCGAUGAGGUCACUGGUUCGAGUCCAGUA
rnacentral:tRNA from 1 species